UUUCGAAUCAUUCACAAUGGGCGCAAGCCUGAUGGUGCGACGCCGCGUGAGGGAUGAAGGCCUUCGGGUUGUAAACCUCUGUCACCGGGGAAGAAACGCUUCAAGUUAACAGCUUGAAGCCUGACUUAACCCGGAGAGGAAGCAGUGGCUAACUCUGUGCCAGCAGCCGCGGUAAUACAGAGACUGCAAGCGUUAUUCGGAUUCACUGGGCGUAAAGGGUGCGCAGGCGGUUGGGUGUGUCAGAUGUGAAAUCCCGAGGCUCAACCUCGGAACUGCGUCUGAAACUACUCGACUAGAGUACUGGAGAGGGUAACGGAAUUCACGGUGUAGCAGUGAAAUGCGUAGAUAUCGUGAGGAACACCAGAGGCGAAGGCGGUUACCUGGACAGUUACUGACGCUCAGGCACGAAAGCAUGGGGAGCAAAAGGGAUUAGAUACCCCCGUAGUCC
rnacentral:rRNA from 1 species